rnacentral:rRNA from 1 species
CGGCAUGAACGCACCCUGAUCAGCCAUGCCGCGUGAGUGAAGAAGGCCUUCGGGUUGUAAAGCUCUUUCGUGAGGGAAGAAACGGUCAAAGUGAAUAGCUUUGGUCACUGACGGUACCUCAAGAAGAAGCACCGGCUAACUACGUGCCAGCAGCCGCGGUAAUACGUAGGGUGCGAGCGUUAAUCGGAAUUACUGGGCGUAAAGCGUGCGCAGGCGGUUUGUUAAGUCAGAUGUGAAAGCCCCGGGCUUAACCUGGGAACUGCGUUUGAGACUGGCAAGCUAGAGUCUGUCAGAGGGGGGUAGAAUUCCACGUGUAGCAGUGAAAUGCGUAGAGAUGUGGAGGAAUACCGAUGGCGAAGGCAGCCCCCUGGGAUAAGACUGACGCUCAUGCACGAAAGCGUGGGGAGCAAACAGGAUUAGAUACCCUGGUAGUCCACGCCCUAAACGAUGUCAACUGGUUGUUGGGUAACUUGUUUACUUAUUAACGAAGCUAACGCGAGAAGUUGACCGCCUGGGGAGUACGGUCGCAAGAUUAAAACUCAAAGGAA